rnacentral:rRNA from 1 species
CCUACGGGGGGCAGCAGUAGGGAAUCUUCCACAAUGGACGAAAGUCUGAUGGAGCAACGCCGCGUGAGUGAAGAAGGGUUUCGGCUCGUAAAGCUCUGUUGGUAGUGAAGAAAGAUAGAGGUAGUAACUGGCCUUUAUUUGACGGUAAUUACUUAGAAAGUCACGGCUAACUACGUGCCAGCAGCCGCGGUAAUACGUAGGUGGCAAGCGUUGUCCGGAUUUAUUGGGCGUAAAGCGAGUGCAGGCGGUUUAAUAAAUCUGAUGUGUAAGCCUUCGGCGCAACCGGAGAAUUGCAUCAGAAACAU